UUACGGCCACAUCACGUUGAAAACACCGGUUCCGUACGAUCAACGAAGUUAAGCAACGUUGAACCUGUCUAGGGCCUAGAUGGGUAACCGCUUGAGAAUAUCAGGUGCUGUU